rnacentral:lncRNA from 1 species
UAAACAUAAGCACCCUCUUUUUCCUCAUGUUCCUAUCUACAAGAAACCCUUUCCUCAUAUUCCUAUCUACAAACCUCCUUUUCCUCAUAUUCCUAUCUUCAAAAAACCUUUCCCUCCACAUGAGCCUAUCUAUGAAAAACCUCUUCCUCCGCCUACACCGGUCUAUGAAAAACCAGUUCCUCCGCCUACACCUGUCUAUGAAAAACCUCUUCCUCCGCCUACACCGGUCUAUGAGAAACCUCUUCCCCCGCCUACACCUGUCUAUGAGCCUCCACCAACUCCUGUAUAUCAUAAACCUCUUCCCCCACCUACGCCUGUCUAUGAGAAACCUCUUCCUCCACCUACACCUGUAUAUCAUAAACCACAUCCACCACCGGCUCCGGUCAAAGGUUGUCCACCAAAGGUUGAACACCCAAUUCUACCACCUGCUCCAGUAUACAAACCUCCUCCAGUUCCAAAGCCACAACCACCACCGGUUCCGGUCAAGAAACCAUGUCCACCAAAGGUUGAACAUCCAAUUCUGCCACCUGUUCCAAUCUAUAAACCGCCAGUGGUAGUUCCAAAGCCACCUGUGGUUCCAAUUUACAAGCCACCAGUUCCGGUUUACAAACCACCAGUUCCAGUUUACAAGCCACCAGUUCCGAUUUACAAGCCACCAGUUGUUAUUAAGCCUCUUCCACCAUUCCCAAAGUAUCCUCCAUACAAGAAACCACCAUGUCCACCUCUCCCUACUCUCCCACCAAAGCAUGAUUUUUUCCAUCACCCCAAGUAUGGAAAAUUAC